GAGGUUAUAGAGGGAGUAGUUAUAGAGGUUAUAGAGGGUGUAGUUAUAGAGGUUAUAGAGGGAGUAGUUAUAGAGGUUAUAGAGGGUGUAGUUAUAGAGGUUAUAGAGGGAGUAGUUAUAGAGGUUAUAGAGGGAGUAGUUAUAGAGGGAGUAGUUAUAGAGGGUGUAGUUAUAAAGGUUAUAGAGGGAGUAGUUAUAGAAUAGUUAUAGAGGUUAUAGAGGGAGUAGUUAUAGAGGUUAUAGAGGGUGUAGUUAUAGAGGUUAUAGAGGGAGUAGUUAUAGAGGUUAUAGAGGGAGUAGUUAUAGAGGUUAUAGAGGGAGUAGUUAUAGAGGUUAUAGAGGGAGUAGUUAUAGAGGGAGUAGUUAUAGAGGUUAUAGAGGGUGUAGUUAUAGAGGUUAUAGAGGGAGUGGUUAUAGAGGGAGUAGUUAUAAAGGUUAUAGUGGGAGUAGUUAUAGAGGUUAUAGAGGGAGUAGUUAUAGAGGGUGUAGUUAUAAAGGUUAUAGAGGGAGUAGUUAUAGAAUUUAUAGAGGGAGUAGUUAUAGAGGUUAUAGAGGGAGUAGUUAUAGAGGUUAUAGAGGGAGU
ensembl:lncRNA